rnacentral:rRNA from 1 species
UACGAAGGGGGCUAGCGUUGUUCGGAUUUACUGGGCGUAAAGCGCACGUAGGCGGCUUUGUAAGUUAGAGGUGAAAGCCCGGGGCUCAACCCCGGAAUUGCCUUUAAGACUGCAUCGCUUGAAUCCGGGAGAGGUGAGUGGAAUUCCGAGUGUAGAGGUGAAAUUCGUAGAUAUUCGGAAGAACACCAGUGGCGAAGGCGGCUCACUGGACCGGUAUUGACGCUGAGGUGCGAAAGCGUGGGGAGCAAACAGG